rnacentral:rRNA from 1 species
UUGCCUACGGGGGGCAGCAGUGAGGAAUAUUGGUCAAUGGGCGAGAGCCUGAACCAGCCAAGUCGCGUGAAGGAUGACGGCCCUACGGGUUGUAAACUUCUUUUGUCAGGGAGCAAUUGGGUCCACGUGUGGGCUUAGCGAGAGUACCUGAAGAAAAAGCAUCGGCUAACUCCGUGCCAGCAGCCGCGGUAAUACGGAGGAUGCGAGCGUUAUCCAGAUUUAUUGGGUUUAAAGGGUGCGCAGGCGGCCUGUUAAGUCAGCGGUAAAAGCCCGGGGCUCAACCCCGGCGAGCCGUUGAAACUGGC